AUUGCCUUUUGGUAAAGGCCUCAUUCCUAAACACCCACAAGAAUCUUUUAUCUCAUGGUUAUCAAAGGAGGUUGGGAUCUGGCAGUAUUAUCUCUCUCUGUCUCUUUUUUAUUUUCAGACAGGGUCUCACUCUGUUGCCCAGGCUGGAGUGCAGUGGCACAAUCACAGCUCACUGCAGCCUCCACCUCCUGGGCCCAAGCUAUUCUCCUUCCUCAGCCUCCCAAGUAGUUGGAACAGCUACCUGUGUGACCUUGGGCAAGUCACUUGGCAUCUCUGUACCCCCAUUUAUACAAAGUUUCCUCAUCUGUACCACGAACUUAGAUACGCAAAGGGCCUGCUCCACAGGCAUGAGCAACAACACAGACAGUUUCCUGCCUUUCCCCCAAGUACUCUCUCUCCCUCUUUCCCAGGAGAUGGACCUAAACAGCUCUGAGCAGCCAACGGAGGGAAGAAGAGAUUCCUAGAAGGCAAGAAACAAAAUGGCCAGGUAACCCAUCUGAAUAGUAUCCGGGCAUUAGCACAGGCUACCAGCCAAUCAGAAGCAAGGAAGUGAAGAGGAAAGGAGGACUGAGGGAUUGUUUUGGCUGCUGGUCACUCAGAGACUAAGAGAGAGAGCCUUCAGACUCCCUCAUUCCCUUGUGGGAUUUAUGAGGAAACUAAGACCCAUAAAUAUCAAAAAUGUGACCCAAGGCCUUGGAUAUAGUGAUUGUCAGAGUUGCCCUCAACCUGGGACCUCUGGGAUCAAGAGAAGUGAGCCUUGGACUAACUACAUGUUCACUCUCGCAUCGGAAAUUGGGUGUAAUUUGGCUUAAAUAUGGGGCUUGGGGAUUGUUAUCAAUUUGUUAUGGCACAAAUUGUCCUUUUUCAAUUUGCCUUUUCUCUUCCCUUCUUCCCUCCAAAAUAUCCCCCUAUUCUUUCUCCCUCUGCACUUCCAAUUCAGAGGAACUCAGGUUUUUACUUCCUUAGGAGGACGUGCUAGCAUCACCGGUGUUGUGGGCCUUGAGCCGAGGGCCUCAGGACUGUGAUGAGGCUCAGGGCCACAGUAAGAGCAGGGUUUCCUGAACACAACACUGCACUUAACCACACCUGGGUGAAAAUUUCAUUUUCUUCACACAAAGACUGGGCUCUAAAGUGUCCAGUGUUCUAUGAGUCUCGAUAAGGUGAAAUAAUUCUGUUAUUGUUGACUCAUAGAUUUUCUGCUUGCAUGUAUACCUAAAGACUUUUUGCAAUUCUUGCCAGGGUAUAUAUUUUUUAAGAUACAAAACUGUCUUACACCCCACAGCAAGCUUUAAUCCUGUGAGGACAAUCUGUUUCUCCUGGCAACACUAAGGCUACUAGAUGAACAGGGGUCAGCCGGGUAGUUUGAAGAGAAGCCUUGGUAAUCUGUUAGACAAAGCUGAGAAUUCUCUAAAGAAUGUCUAGCAAAGAUACUUCAGUUUGAAGUGAAUAGAAAGGGUUUUGUUCACAGGCCCUGCCUUGCUGCUGGAUUCAAAGAAUGUGCAGCACCAGAAAAGGACAUCAAUGUCCUUCUUGAAAAUGAAACACACACGCGCACACACACACACACACACACACGUGUCUUCUUUUCUGCCUGCAUUGAGCAUUGCAUAACUGUGGAAAAGUUCAUCACGCCUGAAAAUAUGUAUCUUUCCUUUGAUCCAAAGCAAGUGCUAUAUUGGAAUAAAGAUGCCAUAUCUUCCGCCUUUAGUAAAAUGAAUUGUCAAGGAUUUUGCUUCAGAAAGAUCAAGAAAAGACCAAACGAUUCUGCAGGGUGAGGCCUCAGAGUUCAGGCUGUUGAUUAGGAGUUAGGGGCCCUGUAAGUCUUAUUGGUUCUCAGCUUUCUCACUAGCUCAUGUUUGUGACCUUAGGCAAGGCACUUAAGCUCUUUGUACCUUCAUUCCUCCAUUUGAAAAUUAGAGAUAAUACUUGCCGCCUACUUAAACUCAAAGGGAUAUGUGAGGAUUAGCCAAUUAAAGUUUGCCAAAUGCUUGGGAAUCAAUGGAGGGAAAAAUCUGUAUGAAUAUAAGGUAUCAUUGUCAGUCCCGCCUGACUCCCUCUUCACUCUCUUACCCCUCCUGUUUCCACCCUCUCUUUUAAAGGAUUGCCUUCCUGGGAAACUCAUGAGCAUUAUGCAUGGUUUUACUUAUGGUUGCUAUUGUGGAAAGUGGCCAUCUCCUAUUAUUAAGUGAUUUGUUUGAAGUUGGUCCUUUCUAUACCAUCACGGGGGAGGUUUCCAAAUCAAAGCAUCCUAGACUGAUUGUCAGUGAGGCACAGCUGGCAAGGUUUCUUUUGGGUUUACCUUUAGCAUCCUGUAGAGAGGAGAAAACAACCAUUUUAAUGUAAAAUAGUAAGCAUAAUUUGGAAAUAUUUGCCCAUUAGGAAUACAAAGCUAGUGAGGUACAAAAAUAAAGUCAAUUUAGAGCCCUUGUUACAAUCCUUGAAGAAAUUCCCCUUUUAACCAAAACAAUAAUAGUGCUUCCUAUUUCAUAAACGUUGCUCCUCUGGCUGUUACAGCCACGUGAAAAAUGAGUGUAACAUAACUAUGGCAUAUUAUCUGUUUGUUUCACAAUUGGAAAAUUGAGAUGCAGAGAGAUUAAGUGACUUGCUCACCACAACUUAGCUAACGAACGGAACGGCAA
rnacentral:lncRNA from 1 species